GCUCACAGUUCCAGCAAUUUGUGAUUUUCCUUAACCCUCUCAUGCAUAAAUUAUGAUCCUUUGUGUCAGAAUUUAUUUUCCAUUUUU